UGGGGAGAGGGAACGAGGGGUCCGACCUAGCCCGAAAGCGAGCUCUGGGGCUUUCUCCUGUCGUACUGGCCACCACCUGAGUCCAGGUUGGGGCAACAGAACUACAGUUACGGAAGAAAAGUACACAUUAUUCCACUUCUUCCUUCCGCAACGCACCCUUUCCUGAGCUUUCUACCCCCCUGAACCUGCGCAGCUGGAUGCGACGUCCCAGGGGCUUAUGGUCAAGCUAGCUGGUCAGUCUGGCUGAUCCUAGGUGCUUGCCAGAUGUCGAAACCGCUGAUAGCCCUAGCACUCAACCCACGGUGCUGUUUCAUAAUGCAGUAAUUUUGAAAACAUUCUAAAUGAAAAUUUGGAAUCUGAAUUUAAGUCAAUGUGCAGCUGUAUAAUGUGUGACCCCAGUGCAAAAACAGAUCACAACUUGAAGCAAGGCUCUUCUUUUACUUAGACAGUCUGGACUGAGGCUCCUUAAAUGUUAAUUUGUAAAGAAAUCAUCACCAUGUACAUACAGUAGGACCUCUUGGACCAACAGCACCAACGGGACCAACAACACC